CCUACGGGAGGCUGCAGUAGGGAAUCUUCGGCAAUGGACGAAAGUCUGACCGAGCAACGCCGCGUGAGUGAAGAAGGUUUUCGGAUCGGAAAACUCUGUUGGUAGAGAAGAACGUUGGUGAGAGUGGAAAGCUCAUCAAGUGACGGGAACUACCGAGAAAGGGACGGCUAAGCACGUGCCAGCAGCCGCGGUAAUACGUAGGUCCCGAGCGUUGUCCGGAUUGAUUGGGCGUAAAGCGAGCGCAGGUGGUUUAUUAAGUCUGCUGUCAAAGGCAGUGGCUCAACCAUUGUAUGCAUUGGAAACUGGUAGACUGAGGUGCAGGAGAGGAGAGUGGAAUUCCAUGUGU
rnacentral:rRNA from 1 species